rnacentral:rRNA from 1 species
ACGGGUGAGUAACACGUGGGCAACCUGCCCUUGAGACUGGGAUAACUUCGGGAAACCGGAGCUAAUACCGGAUAAUACAAGGAACCUCCUGGUUCCUUGUUGAAAGAUGGUUUCGGCUAUCACUUAAGGAUGGGCCCGCGGCGCAUUAGCUAGUUGGUGAGGUAACGGCUCACCAAGGCGACGAUGCGUAGCCGACCUGAGAGGGUGAUCGGCCACACUGGGACUGAGACACGGCCCAGACUCCUACGGGAGGCAGCAGUAGGGAAUCUUCCACAAUGGACGAAAGUCUGAUGGAGCAACGCCGCGUGAGUGAUGAAGGCCUUCGGGUCGUAAAGCUCUGUUGUUAGGGAAGAACAAGUGCGAGAGUAACUGCUCGCACCUUGACGGUACCUAACCAGAAAGCCACGGCUAACUACGUGCCAGCAGCCGCGGUAAUACGUAGGUGGCAAGCGUUAUCCGGAAUUAUUGGGCGUAAAGCGCGCGCAGGUGGUUUCUUAAGUCUGAUGUGAAAGCCCACGGCUCAACCGUGGAGGGUCAUUGGAAACUGGGGAACUUGAGUGCAGAAGAGGAAAGUGGAAUUCCAA